rnacentral:lncRNA from 1 species
UAAUUCUGACUCACGUUGGUUGCUAUCGGGCUUAAGCCAUAAAAAUUGAAGAAAAAAAGAAGAAGACGGCCCACUUUCACUUGUCAUUCCAAUGUCACUUUCUGGCCCACAAGCAUAAACGCCACCGGCAACGGGACUUCUUCGGGAGUUCCCAAAAUCCAAACAAAUGUUGAAAGAUAUUUUUAAGUCUCCACAUCUUUCUUAGUUUUCUAUAUGAAAAUAAAAUUGGAGUACACCAACAAAGGUUAAGUGUUUUGCACCAGAUUGUAAGCAUCAUAGCGAAAAACGGACCUGUCAUUUCUUUUAAUUUUCAAAAGAGCCCCUCGAAAUAGUGAAAUGAAUAUCUCUGCUAAGGAAUAGGUACUAAGGCAAAUGGAUAAAAAACCUAAAGGUCCAUGCAUUGGAAUGUAAUUGUCAUUUUGUUGACAAUAAUUGAAUGAAUGGGCCCAUUAUUUUUCCACAUGCAAUGAGGUUAAGCGAGGAGAAACUGAAGACUUUAUCAAAAACUCAGAAUUGCUUAGUACAAACUUAUCUAUUUCCAGUACAAGUUCAUCCACUUCUUUGAAGCAUGGUACUUCAAAUAGAGAAAAUGUCAAUGAUUUGGUAGAAGGUUAGCCGGUGUCAAAUUCCAGUAAGGGACAUGAUUUCAAUUUUGCAUUAACAGCAGAGCCGAAAUUCAUUUUGCUGCAAAAAGUUGGAGGAUGUGAAAGAAAAAAGUGCAGAAGUUAAAAUUAAGUUUUUCAUAUGAGCACAUAAAAAAUACUCAUAACAAAGUUCAGUUGUAUACAGGUUUGACAUAUAAUAAAUAUUUUUGUAACCUUAUUAGGUUAAUUAGUUUUAUACAUUAUUUAAAUAAUAAUUGUAUAGUUCACAUAGAA